UCAGGCCUAACACAUGCAAGUCGAACGAACCCUUCGGGGUUAGUGGCGCACGGGUGCGUAACGCGUGGGGAUCUGCCCUUUGCUUCGGAAUAACAGUUAGAAAUGACUGCUAAUACCGGAUGAUGUCGCAAGACCAAAGAUUUAUCGGCAAAGGAUGAACCCGCGUAGGAUUAGCUAGUUGGUGGGGUAAAGGCCUACCAAGGCGACGAUCCUUAGCUGGUCUGAGAGGAUGAUCAGCCACACUGGGACUGAGACACGGCCCAGACUCCUACGGGAGGCAGCAGUGGGGAAUAUUUAAAAGGGGGCGAAAGCCUGAUCCAGCAAUGCCGCGUGCUUAAAGAGGCCUUAGGGUUGUAAAGCUCUUUACCAGGGAUGAUA
rnacentral:rRNA from 1 species